rnacentral:misc_RNA from 1 species
AAGGAGGAAGUGAGAGGUUCUUGCUCUUCAAUGAUCUUCUCGCCGCGUCACACAUGGCUUUGAUGAUUAUCUUCAGCUCCUCAUUUCUUCCUACAAAAACCCUAGGCAGAGACUGCAAGGGCUUCAAAUAUUGACUCGUAGGCCUCGCGAUCUCGAAUUGUGAAGCGAAGUCAAGAUCGAUGAUGUACCGGUUUUGCCAGGUGGAGGACGACUGGACCACGUCGAUGAACUCGUAGCUCCCUGCCGUUAAGCCCCCGGAGGAGUUCCACUUGGUCUUGCAAAUCCCUGCAUUGUGUCCUAAUUCUCUCAGAAAUGACAUCACUUUCCGCCUGAAAACAGGUUUUUGAUUUCGCAAACACGAAAACAUUUCCAUGGCUUUCAAAACGUUAGCUAACAUCAUAUUUUUAUACGAAUCCGUACUGUUUCCAGUAGCUGAUCCGACAAUGUCUUCAACGAAGUCAGUACAAUCGGCGACGGAGUCAUCUUGAUCGGAAUCAGACUCGUACCCCAAGGAUUGAGUAUCGGAAUCAUCCUCGAGAAAGCCGUGAACGAGUUUAGAGAGGCAAGGGGAAUCGUCGGUGGAAUGUUCACUCCCGCUGCUGACAUAACUGAGUUGGGCGCCAACGAGUCGAGCUUUGGCCUUAUCGUCGAGAGGAUCAGUGACUCGCUUGGCUCUCACAAAAACUGACAUUUUCCGAGUAAGAUCCAGAGAUUUUUUUUUUUUUUCUAAGAAGUGUUUGUCCUAUUUCUAUGCGGUUUCCUUCCCCUUUGAUUAAAGCUUGACGAGGGAAAGAAAUCCUUUGAUGAGAAGCUCAAAGAAAGAAAGGACUGGUUAAGUAUUUAAAAGAAAGAAUUUGGUUGGGAAUAUUCGAGGGGAGAUUUCUGAGUAAGGGUGCUGCUUUUGAUCUUCUGGGAGUGGGUUUUUUUUAUUUUUCGAAAAAGGUACAAGUCGUGGGGGAGGAUAUACCAGAUUAUAUCCGACUACACGAGAUACAUGGCAGGGCCACAGGGCAUAUCCAACGGCACCUGGUGGGUUUAUUCGUUGAACUAGUAUAUGACGUGGGCGGAUGUGAUUUGCCGGAAGUUCGUGGAGUCUUGUUGUCCGCCACGAGUUUGGCACGUGGCCUAAGUUGCUCCUAUGGGACACUUGGGAGAUAUUGUGGGGUAUGGUUUUGCCUCUUCAAGGAAGGGAAGGGCGAAUCUGUUGGAAUUUCUAAUCAGAAUGCGAGGAGGGAAGGGAAAAAAAAACAUACACGGUUGAAAGAGCAAAGGAAGAAGCAAUUGAUUGAGCAAGCAAUGUCUUGCUUGCAAAAUAAAUAGAGAUAUAAAUUAACAAAAUUAAACUGAUUUAUAACAAUUUAGCUUAUUUUUUCUAUUUAGUUAGUAAUAUUUAAAAUUUUUAGUUUUUAUUAUCAAUUUAGUUAUGUAUAAAAUUUAACUGCUGCAACUAAACUAACUAUUAAAAAAAAACUAGAUUUUAAUCUUAAAAAAUUGUUGGGAUUAAACUCACCCG